UUGGUUUGGUGUUGAUUCUUUUUUGGCAGGGGAAGGUGUGAGCUCCCUUGCACCAGAUUUACGUGCUAAUAUUGAAGAGAACCUUUGAAGAGAGAUCAUUCCUCAAACUUAUUUCUUGGAGCUUCUUAGUUUACGGCUAGGAGAUGUUAUACGGUAAAAAGACAAGACAGUUUAAGCACUAAGCUUACACAGUGUAUUGAUUGUAGGUAGGUGCCAUCAAGAAAAACUGGUUCCAUGUAGCUAAGAAGAAAGAUAAAGAAUGACGAGCAGCCAUUACUGAGUUUGCAGCUGUAUAUGGAUCUGGCAUGUAGUUGGAGCUGUAACCCAACGGUUUGUCAACAUGACAUGACUAAAUGGCGGUUCAUGGAUUUAUAGCAAAGGUUCCAGCAAGUGCUUGAUGCUUAUGGUGUGAAGAAAUUGCUAAAGAAUAUGGCUUUAAAGGCAAAACGUGAUCAUAGAAGAGAUGGAAUUGGUGUUGCAUGCUUCAACCAAUGACUCCAACAAGACUCCGACAGACCCAGUUAGAUGGCUCAAUGGAAAUGAACCUUCUGAGUUUUCUGUGGAGUGUUUCUUAUACCGACCCAAUAAGUGAAUCAGAUGCUUUUUUCAUUCAAUGAUUAACCAACAAGGUUCCCAUGUGAACUGUGUUUGAUCACCAGUUGAUUACUAUAUCUAAACAUCUAAAUUUUUACUUUUCCUCACUUCUGUCAUUACUCAAAUCUUUAUUUGUUCACCUUUACAGAUUUCUCUUUUGACCGAUUACUGAUGUAACUAAGGACAACCUCAAGUUUCCCACAAAUAAUAAUCUGAGCACCUUGGUUAACUUAUUAUCUUUUAAUACACAUGAACUGUUUUCAUCUUUGAGACUGUAAUAUAAAUACAAAUUUGUAAUGGAAUGAAGAAUAGAUUCGAGGGUUAAA